UUGGCUCUGCGAGGUCAGCUCA
rnacentral:miRNA from 1 species